UACGUAGGGGGCAAGCGUUGUCCGGAAUCACUGGGUCUUACAGAGUUCGUAGGCGGUCUGGAAAGUUGGGUGUGAAAUCCCUCGGCCUAACCGAGGAACUGCAUCUGAUACUGGAUGGCUUGAGUUCGGGAGAGGGAUGCGGAAUUCCAGGUGUAGCGGUGAAAUGCGUAGAUAUGUGGAGGAACACCGAUGGCGAAGGCAGCCCCCCUGGGCUACACUGACGCUCAUGCACGAAAGCGUGGGGAGCAAACGAGGAUAGAGUACCC
rnacentral:rRNA from 1 species